CUUAGGCUUCUAAAUGCCUACUUAACCCAAUUUAAUAUAUUAAUAACACAAAAGAACAUUUGGUUAUCUAUUGUUAAUUGAAACUGAAUCUGGGCAGGUGCCGAGUCCCUGCCCUGAGUUCCAUGGCAGACGAGAUCAGCCAGGUGGGGCCAACUGCGGCUCACUGACUCCAGCCUGCAGGGGGAGGGUGGCAAAGACGGGGCGCUUGGAAUCUUUCUUGCUCUCCUUGCAUUCUGUGAAGCCCUCACAUGAAAAUCUUCUCUCCCAGGAGAUUCUUCACCCAGGCUGAUGACAAGGAAGCCCAGGUGACCUGUGAGUGCUGUCAUCCAGGUGAGAUGCCACAUCCACAGUCCCAGUGCAGAACAGGAAGCACUACAGCUGCAGUGCUGAGCUGCCAACAGGGUGGCUGGGCACCACGGGACCGAGGACCUCUG
rnacentral:lncRNA from 1 species